GGAAAAUCUUUCGGUCUCGCAAACCGAGGCACAAUUCUUAUCGCUCACACAUGGUCCCUUGAAACGAUGGCUCAACGACUCACAAUGUCUUGCCUCUACGAUUCUCGUUGGUCCCAUUUCAGUAGCCAUAACAAGCAUGGCUAGAAGAAACAAAGUAGCAAAGAAACGAAUGGAUUGUGCCAUUUUCACAAUUUUUUUGAGAGAGAGAAGAAAUAAUAAUUUAUUUUUUUUAAUGUAAUGU
rnacentral:misc_RNA from 1 species